rnacentral:rRNA from 1 species
AAUGAACAGGGAAGAGCUCAAAAUGCUAAUCUCCUUCUCGUGAAGGCGAAUUGUAGUCUACAGGGUGAUAACCCGUAAGAGCGCAGGGAGAAGUCUCUUGGAAAAGAGCACCAUAGAGGGUGAGAAUCCCGUCUGUGCCCUGCAGACUCUUGCAUCCGGUUUUUGCCUAGAGAGUCGUGUUCCUUGGGAUUGGAGCGCUAAGUGGGUGGUAAAUUUCAUCUAAAGCUAAAUAUUGGUGGGAGACCGAUAGCGAACAAGUACCGUGAGGGAAAGAUGAAAAGAACUUUGAAAAGAGAGUUAAAAGUGCUUGAAAUUGCUGGUUGGGAAGCGGAUGCCGUUGUCCAUGCUGUGAGAAUUGUUGGUCGCGAAAGCAGAAGCCUGAGUGGUACCGCAAGGGGCGCUCGUGUGAAAGCCAAAGUGACUGGUAUCUUCUUACAGCUGUGUCAGCAUCAGUUGCGCCUUUGACAAAACUCGUUGGGAAGGUACAAUCCACGGAUUGGUUAUAGCCCAAUAGAGCUGUCAUUAGCGUUUCUGAGGAAUACAGGCGUGCCUUCGGGGUUUCGCCUUCCGAUGCUGACAAAACGACGGUUUCCGACCCGUCUUGAAACACGGACCAAGGAGUCUAACACUUGUGCAAGUGUUCAGGUAGUACACCUGUACGCGCAAUGAAAGUAAUAGCUGGGACCACCAGGGCACCAGCGACCGACCAUGAUCUCUGAGAGAGGUUUGAGUUUGAGCACAAUUGUUAGGACCCGAAAGAUGGUGAACUAUGCCUGAGUAGGGUGAAGCCAGGGGAAACCCUGGUGGAGGCUCGUAGCGAUACUGACGUGCAAAUCGUUCGUCAAACUUGGGUAUAGGGGCGAAAGACUAAUCGAACCAUCUAGUAGCUGGUUCCCUCCGAAGUUUCCCUCAGGAUAGCUGGAGAUUUACACAGUUUUAUCAGGUAAAGCGAAUGAUUAGAGGCAUCGGGGGUGUAUCACCCUUGACCUAUUCUCAAACUUUAAAUGGGUAAGAUCGGUCGGUUACUUCAUUGAACCGGCCGGAUUAAUGUGAUCUCUAAGUGGGCCAUUUUUGGUAAGCAGAACUGGCGAUGAGGGAUGAACCUAACGUCGAGUUAAGGUGCCCAAGUACUCGCUCAUGAGACACCAUAAAAGGUGUUGGUUCAUUUUGACAGCAGGACGGUGGUCAUGGAAGUCG